CAAGUCUGUCACAGAUUACACCCGAAGAGAAAGGGAAUAGCAGCAGACUACCCACUUGGGGGGAGGUAAGGGGCAAAGGAGACCAUGACGCAAGAGGAUCCACUGGUGAGCAAGUGACAUUAAACAAAAUUUUAAUGAAGAAACAAACUCAUCUGAUGCCUUGAUGGUCUUUGCGAGGCAACGCUUCCCUCCCUAAGGUUUCUAUUUUGUCUUCAUAUAAACACGGACCCAUCAUUAUGAUGAGGUGAGAAGAUUGUGACAUCACUGGAAUUCGACUGUCAAAUACACAAGCGCCCGUGUGAGGCUGAAAUGUGUGCUGGGUGAAUGAGGUUGUGUACUGUAAAAGCAAACAGUGAAAUUAAUUAAUAAUUAAUGAAUAAAUAAUUAAUAAUCACUCA
ensembl:lncRNA